GUAGGUGGCAAGCGUUAUCCGGAAUUAUUGGGCGUAAAGCGCGCGCAGGCGGGGUUUCUUAAGUCUGAUGUGAAAGCCCACGGGCUCAACCGUGGAGGGUCAUUGGAAACUGGGGAACUUGAGUGCAGAAGAGAAAAGCGGAAUUCCACGUGUAGCGGUGAAAUGCGUAGAGAUGUGGAGGAACACCAGUGGCGAAGGCGGCGUUUUUGGUCUGUAACUGACGCUGAGGCGCGAAAGCGUGGGGAGCAAACAGGAUUAGAUACCCUGGUAGUCCACGCCGUAAACGAUGAGUGCUAAGUGUUAGAGGGUUUCCGCCCUUUAGUGCUGCAGCUAACGCAUUAAGCACUCCGCCUGGGGAGUACGGUCGCAAGACUA
rnacentral:rRNA from 1 species